rnacentral:rRNA from 1 species
UACAGAGGUCCCAAGCGUUGUUCGGAUUCACUGGGCGUAAAGGGUGCGUAGGCGGUCGGGUAAGUCUGAUGUGAAAUCUCCAAGCUUAACUUGGAAAUGGCAUCGGAUACUAUUCGGCUCGAGGAAUGGAGGGGAGACUGGAAUACUUGGUGUGGCAGUGAAAUGCGUAGAUAUCAAGUGGAACACCAGUGGCGAAGGCGAGUCUCUGGAUAUUUCCUGACGCUGAGGCACGAAAGCCAGGGGAGCAAACGGG